GACGAACGCUGGCGGCGUGCUUAACACAUGCAAGUCGAACGGGAAGGCCCUGCUUUUGUGGGGUGCUCGAGGUGCGAACGGGGGAGUUACACGUGGGUAACCUGCCCUUGCCUGUGGGAUAACUUCAGGAAACUUGGGCUCAUACCGCCUAGGAGUUCCUGCUGCAUGGUGGGGGCUGGAAGGUUUAGGCGGUUGGGGGUGGAAUCGCGGCUUAUCAGCUUGUUGGUGUGGUAGUGGCUUACCAAGGCUUUGACGGGUAGCCGAGCUGAGAGGGUGAGCGGCCACACUGGGAUUGAGAUACGGCACGGCCUAGUACGGGAGGCAGCGGUGCAGUAUAGUGUAUAGUGGGCGGAAGGCUGACGUAGCAAAGCCGCGUGGGGGAUGAGAUGCAUGGCGUAGUAUUGCGAAGCCGCCUGUGCCGAAACGAGAGUGACAGUAAUGGGUAAAGAAGCUCCGGCUAACUACGUG
rnacentral:rRNA from 1 species